UACGGAGGGUGCAAGCGUUAUCCGGAAUCACUGGGUUUAAAGGGUGCGUAGGCGGCCGGAUAAGUCAGUUGUGAAAUCGCUGGGCUCAACCCAUGCAAUUGCGAUUGAUACUGUUCGGCUUGAAACAGGUUGAGGUAAGCGGAAUGUGGCAUGUAGCGGUGAAAUGCAUAGAUAUGCCAUAGAACACCGAUUGCGAAGGCAGCUUGCUGGGCCUGAUUUGACGCUGAGGCACGAAAGCGUGGGGAGCAAACAGG
rnacentral:rRNA from 1 species